rnacentral:rRNA from 2 species
AGACCCGAAACCCGGUGAUCUAGCCAUGGGCAGGUUGAAGGUUGGGUAACACUAACUGGAGGACCGAACCGACUAAUGUUGAAAAAUUAGCGGAUGACCUGUGGCUGGGGGUGAAAGGCCAAUCAAACCGGGAGAUAGCUGGUUCUCCCCGAAAGCUAUUUAGGUAGCGCCUCGUGAAUUCAUCUCCGGGGGUAGAGCACUGUUUCGGCUAGGGGGCCAUCCCGGCUUACCAACCCGAUGCAAACUGCGAAUACCGGAGAAUGUUAUCACGGGAGACACACGGCGGGUGCUAACGUCCGUCGUGAAGAGGGAAACAACCCAGACCGCCAGCUAAGGUCCCAAAGUCAUGGUUAAGUGGGAAACGAUGUGGGAAGGCCCAGACAGCCAGGAUGUUGGCUUAGAAGCAGCCAUCAUUUAAAGAAAGCGUAAUAGCUCACUGGUCGAGUCGGCCUGCGCGGAAGAUGUAACGGGGCUAAACCAUGCACCGAAGCUGCGGCAGCGACACUCAGGUGUUGUUGGGUAGGGGAGCGUUCUGUAAGCCUGCGAAGGUGGCCUGUGAGGGUUGCUGGAGGUAUCAGAAGUGCGAAUGCUGACAUAAGUAACGAUAAAGC